CACACACAUACACACACAAACCCAUCUGUGGACCCUUUUCUGCCCAGCACAUCCGGGCAACGUUUGAUCCUGACACAGGGCUGUUGAUGGAGAUUAUGAACAUGAAUCAGCAACUCCUGCUGCCUGUUCGCCAGACCUUCUUCUGGUACAACGCCAGUAUAGGUGACAACGAAAGUGACCAGGCCUCAGGUGCCUACAUCUUCAGACCCAACCAACAGAAACCGCUGCCUGUGAGCCGCUGGGCUCAGAUCCACCUGGUGAAG
rnacentral:lncRNA from 1 species